rnacentral:lncRNA from 1 species
CUGGUUGGGCAGUUAACAACUGUCUCUCUGAAGCUGGGAUUCAGACAUAGAGGCUCUGAGUCUGAGAGUCUCCUGAAUAAAUCUUCUUUGAAGCUGCCUGCCUUGGAUUAUCCUCAAGAAAAAGAUUCAUGGAAGUUCAUUAGCAAGAAAAAAAAAAUCAAGACAACUGGUGACGGCUUGAGAUGCAGUGGGUGAGUUUAUUUUAUUUUUUUUCCCUGACCAAACUCUAAGCACUUCUCUGUUUCUGCCUGCUUUAGUUGCCUUCAUGGCCAUUGGAAUAAAUUGUUCUCAUCUGCCCA